CCUACGGGAGGCUGCAGUGGGGAAUAUUGCACAAUGGGCGCAAGCCUGAUGCAGCCAUGCCGCGUGUGUGAAGAAGGCCUUCGGGUUGUAAAGCACUUUCAGCGGGGAGGAAGGCGGUGAGGUUAAUAACCUCAUCGAUUGACGUUACCCGCAGAAGAAGCACCGGCUAACUCCGUGCCAGCAGCCGCGGUAAUACGGAGGGUGCAAGCGUUAAUCGGAAUUACUGGACGUAAAGCGCACGCAGGCGGUCUGUCAAGUCGGAUGUGAAAUCCCCGGGCUCAACCUGGGAACUGCAUUCGAAACUGGCAGGCUAGAGUCUUGUAGAGGGGGGUAGAAUUCCAGGUGUAGCGGUGAAAUGCGUAGAGAUCUGGAGGAAUACCGGUGGCGAAGGCGGCCCCCUGGACAAAGACUGACGCUCAGGUGCGAAAGCGUGGGGAGCAAACAGGAUUAGAUACCCGGGUAGUC
rnacentral:rRNA from 1 species